rnacentral:rRNA from 1 species
UACGGAGGAGGCAAGCGUUAUCCGGAAUUAUUGGGCGUAAAGCGUCCGUAGGUGGUUUAGUAAGUCUGCUGUUAAAGCGCGGGGCUUAACUCCGUAUCGGCAGUGGAAACUACUAGACUAGAGUGUGGUAGGGGUAGAGGGAAUUCCCAGUGUAGCGGUGAAAUGCGUAGAUAUUGGGAGGAACACCAGUGGCGAAGGCGGCUCACUGGACUGGUACUGACGCUGAGGCGCGAAAGCGUGGGGAGCAAACGGG